GAGAGAAUAUCCACUGUUCCCUGGGCCCCGAGAGGGCAGUUUGACCCGGCUGAGGAGCCCCUGGGAUUCCCGUGGGCCUUCUUGGGGAGUUGGAGGAAUGGAGGAAGAAGGCCAGGACCCCAGGUCUCCGGGCAUGGAACGUUAAAGGGGAUUUCCAGGCUCUGAGAAGAAGCCAGAGGCACGAAUCAUCGGGGUAGAAGUGGCUCGUGUGACAUGGCUUCCGGCCCAGGAUCCCUCGCUUUGAUCCCCUACGUUCUUCGGUGAUUUGUCCCGAUAAAACGGGCAAAGGAGCAACUAGCAAAUUCCAGGAUUUGCUGAGGUCCGGCCUGCUCGUGUCUGGCGCCUUGCCCAGGCUGCUCGGGGAUCGGAGGAGCUGACCAACAGCGUCUGUGCAAUUGGUUCUGCUGACGCCACACAUUCCUGGCUCUCUGCCUCACUGCCUUUCCUACAGUACUCCAGGGCAGAGCUCUGCCAGCCUUGCCAGCCUCUCCUUUCUUCAUCCCUCUUGGCACAGACACAGAACACAUAUGUGCCAUUGAUACCCAGAUUUAUACUCUCCCCCACCCCCUGCCGAUUCCUUAAAAUUAAAUAAAUUAGGUGGCACCCCU